UAAUAUGACGCUCAGCACGAAAGCGUGGGAGCAAACAGGAUUAGAUACCCUGGUAGUCCACGCCCUAAACGAUGUCUACUAGUUGUUGGUGGAGUAAAAUCCAUGAGUAACGCAGCUAACGCGUGAAGUAGACCGCCUGGGGAGUACGGUCGCAAGAUUAAAACUCAAAUGAAUUGACGGGGGCCCGCACAAGCGGUGGAUUAUGUGGAUUAAUUCGAUGCAACGCGAAAAACCUUACCUGGCCUUGACAUGUAACGAACUUUCCAGAGAUGGAUUGGUGCUCGAAAGAGAACGUUAACACAGGUGCUGCAUGGCUGUCGUCAGCUCGUGUCGUGAGAUGUUGGGUUAAGUCCCGCAACGAGCGCAACCCUUGCCAUUAAUUGCCAUCAUUUAGUUGGGCACUUUAAUGGGACUGCCGGUGACAAACCGGAGGAAGGUGGGGAUGACGUCAAGUCCUCAUGGCCCUUAUGGCCAGGGCUUCACACGUAAUACAAUGGUCGGUACAGAGGGUUGCCAAGCCGCGAGGUGGAGCCAAUCCCAGAAAGCCGAUCGUAGUCCGGAUUGUAGUCUGCAACUCGACUACAUGAAGUCGGAAUCGCUAGUAAUCGCGGAUCAGCAUGUCGCGGUGAAUACGUUCCCGGGCCUUGUACACACCGCCC
rnacentral:rRNA from 1 species